rnacentral:rRNA from 1 species
UACAGAGGUCUCAAGCGUUGUUCGGAUUCACUGGGCGUAAAGGGUGCGUAGGCGGCGCGGUAAGUCGGGUGUGAAAUUUCGAGGCUUAACUUCGAAACUGCAUUCGAUACUGCCGUGCUUGAGGACUGGAGAGGAGACUGGAAUUUACGGUGUAGCGGUGAAAUGCGUAGAUAUCGUAAGGAAGACCAGUGGCGAAGGCGGGUCUCUGGACAGUUCCUGACGCUGAGGCACGAAGGCCAGGGGAGCAAACGGG